ensembl:lncRNA
AGGUGGUAUACGCAACCAAGUGACGUGGUAUGAAGACGUGUAUAGCAGACAGGCUGUGAUGUCUCCUCUGCAUCAGCAGCAAAGCCUCCUCAUGUCGGGCAGCACAACGAGCGCCAGACGCGAAGCGGAACCCGAAAACGGGAUUCUAGCGCGAUCCGGUGAGCGCGGUGAAGCUUUCCUCCCGGUCCUCCGCCAUCCCGCUGUGUUUUGGAGAGGAGGACGAGGAGGCGAGGAGAAAGGAUGCUCUCGGGCUGAGGCAGCGAGCAGGAUCCUUCGUUCCUGCUGUCUACGGAAGCCCGGAUGCGCCAAAAAAAAGAAGGCAAUUUUAUUUUGGUUCCUUGCUCAGAUGUUGAUUUUUUUUAUAUAAGCUCAUUUCUGACCGCGAAAUCCUCACACGAAACAAACGGGGAAUUAUUGUUCUUUUAAAACACAUUGUUUUUUUUAUCGCACUCUCGUUUUAAAAAUGUGUCGUUUGUGGUUUCUUUCUUAUACCAAAGUAGGCGAGUGAUUGAUCACUAGUCUCAAUAAAU